rnacentral:sRNA from 1 species
CAAUAGAUUCGGCCCAAAUGCAUGUUAUAUUAAAGCCUUGUUGAUAUCGUUAACUAUAUUCUGACUAAAAACAUAUUUGACAGAAAAUAAAAUAGUUAAGAAGUUGUGUACGACAUUUCCAAAAGAAUUCAUUUGACCGGCUUUGGGUUAUCAUUCAUUUAUUCGAAAAUGGACAUACCCGCAAAAGUAUUAGCAAUAGUACUUCUGUUUCUUGCGGACUUGGUAGCCGCCGAUUCGUUAAGCUCUGGCGAUAUAGCGGGCAUUGUUUUAGGACCACUGUGUCUCGUUCUUUUAAUAAUUCUCAUCGUACUGGCUGUACUGUAUAGCAAGAAGACGGAAGAAGCAAAGAAAAACUAUGAGGAAAUUACAAAUUUAAAGAGUCGCAUAAGAGACAAUCAAGGAAAUAAUUCUGUUUAGCAAUGUGUACAUUUUUUAUAAGUUAAUAAAUAAAA